AGCGGCGAACGGGGUAGUAAGGCAUCGGAACGUACCCUCUCGUCGGGAAUAGCCACGGGAAACUGUGAUUAAUGCCCGAUAAUAUCGAGAGAUCAAAGGUCCGCCGCGAGGGGAGCGGCCGAUGUGAUAUCAGGUAGUUGGUGGGGUAACGGCCCACCAAGCCAUAGACGUCUAGGGGGCGUGAGAGCGCGACCCCCACCACUGGGACUGAGAUACUGCCCAGACACCUACGGGUGGCUGCAGUCGAGAAUCUUCGGCAAUGGGCGCAAGCCUGACCGAGCGACGCCGCGUGCGGGAUGAAGGCCCUUGGGUUGUAAACCGCUGUCGGGGGGGAUGAAACCGUAAGGUUGACAGAGCCCCGGAGGAAGCACGGGCUAAGUUCGUGCCAGCAGCCGCGGUAAUACGAACUGUGCGAACGUUAUUCGGAAUCACUGGGCUUACAGGGUGCGUAGGCUGCGAUGCAAGUCAGGUGUGAAAGCCCACGGCUCAACCGUGGAACUGCGCUUGAAACUGCAUUGCUCGAGUGAGCUAGAGGUACACGGAACUUCCGGUGGAGCGGUGAAAUGUGUUGAUAUCGGAAGGAACACCAGAGGCGAAAGCGGUGUACUGGAGCUUGUCUGACGCUGAGGCACGAAAGCCAGGGGAGCAAACGGGAUUAGAUACCCCGGUAGUCCUGGCUGUAAACGAUCAGAACUAGA
rnacentral:rRNA from 1 species